UACGUAGGGCGCGAGCGUUGUCCGGAAUUAUUGGGCGUAAAGAGCUCGUAGGCGGCUUGUCACGUCGGGUGUGAAAGACCGGGGCUUAACUCCGGUUCUGCAUUCGAUACGGGCUAGCUAGAGUGUGGUAGGGGAGAUCGGAAUUCCUGGUGUAGCGGUGAGAUGCGCAGAUAUCAGGAGGAACACCGGUGGCGAAGGCGAAUCUCUGGACAGUUACUGACACUGAGGCACGAAGGCCAGGGGAGCAAACGGG
rnacentral:rRNA from 1 species